UACUUUUGUUUCAUAUACAACACGAGGUUGUAUCAUCACAUUACGUUCUGUGGACUCUUGUAUAUUUGUUCCUGCAAAGAAAUACAAUUUCCGUUGCUCGGUUUACUUAAAGGACACAUGAGGAUGGAUCAUACAGGAAGAGAAGAAUCCAGUUUGAGAUUGAAAUUGAAAUACUCGUGCAAGUUUCCUGGAUGCAGGAGUAGUUAUUAUGUAAAAAUAAAUUCCAAACACAAGAAUAAACAUUUCUAUAAAUUUCCAGCUGCAUCAAAAAGCUAAAUCCUGGUGUUAUACCAAAGCACAUGGAAUUGGUGUUGUAUCAUCCUCCCCCCAC